GAUGAACGCUGGCGGCGUGCUUAACACAUGCAAGUCGAACGAAGCACUUUAUUUGAUUUCCUUCGGGACUGAUUAUUUUGUGACUGAGUGGCGGACGGGUGAGUAACGCGUGGGUAACCUGCCUUGUACAGGGGGAUAACAGUUGGAAACGGCUGCUAAUACCGCAUAAGCGCACGGCAUCGCAUGAUGCAGUGUGAAAAACUCCGGUGGUAUAAGAUGGACCGGCGUUGGAUUAGCUAGUUGGUGAGGUAACGGCCCACCAAGGCGACGAUCCAUAGCCGACCUGAGAGGGUGACCGGCCACAUUGGGACUGGGACACGGCCCAAACUCCUACGGGAGGCAGCAGUGGGGAAUAUUGCACAAUGGGCGAAAGCCUGAUGCAGCGACGCCGCGUGAGCGAAGAAGUAUUUCGGUAUGUAAAGCUCUAUCAGCAGGGAAGAUAAUGACGGUACCUGACUAAGAAGCACCGGCUAAAUACGUG
rnacentral:rRNA from 1 species